rnacentral:rRNA from 1 species
AGUAACGAUAAAGCGGGUGAAAAGCCCGCUCGCCGGAAGACCAAGGGUUCCUGUCCAACGUUAAUCGGGGCAGGGUGAGUCGACCCCUAAGGCGAGGCCGAAAGGCGUAGUCGAUGGGAAACAGGUUAAUAUUCCUGUACUUGGUGUUACUGCGAAGGGGGGACGGAGAAGGCUAUGUUGGCCGGGCGACGGUUGUCCCGGUUUAAGCGUGUAGGCUGGUUUUCCAGGCAAAUCCGGAAAAUCAAGGCUGAGGCGUGAUGACGAGGCACUACGGUGCUGAAGCAACAAAUGCCCUGCUUCCAGGAAAAGCCUCUAAGCAUCAGGUAACAUCAAAUCGUACCCCAAACCGACACAGGUGGUCAGGUAGAGAAUACCAAGGCGCUUGAGAGAACUCGGGUGAAGGAACUAGGCAAAAUGGUGCCGUAACUUCGGGAGAAGGCACGCUGAUAUGUAGGUGAAGUCCCUCGCGGAUGGAGCUGAAAUCAGUCGAAGAUACCAGCUGGCUGCAACUGUUUAUUAAAAACACAGCACUGUGCAAACACGAAAGUGGACGUAUACGGUGUGACGCCUGCCCGGUGCCGGAAGGUUAAUUGAUGGGGUCAGCGCAAGCGAAGCUCUUGAUCGAAGCCCCGGUAAACGGCGGCCGUAACUAUAACGGUCCUAAGGUAGCGAAAUUCCUUGUCGGGUAAGUUCCGACCUGCACGAAUGGCGUAAUGAUGGCCAGGCUGUCUCCACCCGAGACUCAGUGAAAUUGAACUCGCUGUGAAGAUGCAGUGUACCCGCGGCAAGACGGAAAGACCCCGUGAACCUUUACUAUAGCUUGACACUGAACAUUGAGCCUUGAUGUGUAGGAUAGGUGGGAGGCUUUGAAGUGUGGACGCCAGUCUGCAUGGAGCCGGCCUUGAAAUACCACCCUUUAAUGUUUGAUGUUCUAACGUUGACCCGUUAUCCGGGUUGCGGACAGUGUCUGGUGGGUAGUUUGACUGGGGCGGUCUCCUCCUAAAGAGUAACGGAGGAGCACGAAGGUUGGCUAAUCCUGGUCGGACAUCAGGAGGUUAGUGCAAUGGCAUAAGCCAGCUUGACUGCGAGCGUGACGGCGCGAGCAGGUGCGAAAGCAGGUCAUAGUGAUCCGGUGGUUCUGAAUGGAAGGGCCAUCGCUCAACGGAUAAAAGGUACUCCGGGGAUAACAGGCUGAUACCGCCCAAGAGUUCAUAUCGACGGCGGUGUUUGGCACCUCGAUGUCGGCUCAUCACAUCCUGGGGCUGAAGUAGGUCCCAAGGGUAUGGCUGUUCGCCAUUUAAAGUGGUACGCGAGCUGGGUUUAGAACGUCGUGAGACAGUUCGGUCCCUAUCUGCCGUGGGCGCUGGAGAACUGAGGGGGGCUGCUCCUAGUACGAGAGGACCGGAGUGGACGCAUCACUGGUGUUCGGGUUGUCAUGCCAAUGGCACUGCCCGGUAGCUAAAUGCGGAAGAGAUAAGUGCUGAAAGCAUCUAAGCACGAAACUUGCCCCGAGAUGAGUUCUCCCUGACUCCUUGAGAGUC